AUAUCAUAAGGAUUUGUCACCGGUUCCUGUACGAUCACCGAAGUUAAGCAACGUCGAGUCUGUUCAGUACCUAGAUGGGUGACCUCUUGGGAAUACUAGGUGCUGUAAG
rnacentral:rRNA from 1 species